UACGUAGGCAGCGAGCGUUGUUCGGAAUUACUGGGCGUAAAGAGUGUGUAGGCGGCGCUCUAAGUUCGGUGUGCAAUCUCUCGGCUUAACUGGAAGGGUGCGCCGGAAACUGGAGUGCUCGAACGUGGGAGAGGAAAGCGGAAUUCCUGGUGUAGCGGUGAAAUGCGUAGAUAUCAGGAGGAACACCUGCGGUGUAGACGGCUUUCUGGACCAUUGUUGACGCUGAGACACGAAAGCGUGGGUAGCAAACAGG
rnacentral:rRNA from 1 species